GGGCGCUAUCGUGUAGUAAGCGGCUAGAGAGACGUUGAUUACUCGUGGUGUGAUGAACUAUAAUGGGAAAAUGGUUGAAAUUUGCUUGCUUCUUCGUGAUGGUGGCAACCAGGUGAUGAUGUAUCCCCUCUGAUGAUUUGGCGAGGGAAAGCUAAAGAGCAGAUCUGGGUCAUCAGAUGGAUAGGGGAAUCUUCCUAGAGAGAGCUGACAAACAAUGGCUCGGCCAAAAUGGUUUCUCCAAACUAUGGAUUCCCGAAGAAUUGCGCAUCUUUCAGGUCAUUGGGUAAAUCCUGGAUCUCAAAUUUUAACACCAGCUACAACCCCUCAUCAUUAUGGCAGGAUUUCUUCAUUACCUGGGGGGUGAGAAGGAAUAUGGUGUGCCAGCAUCACCAUUGUAGGCCUAAGUCUCAACACAGCGUUUUGUGUGCGAUUAUGAUCUCGGGAUGAAGAUUACUUGUGGCUUGUUUUAACAAAAAGUCGUCGUUGUCGUGUCCACCAGUUUGUUUAGCCAGUAACAGUGUUUCUCAAUGAUUUGCCAUCUCUGGACAUGACUGAGCUGCUUCAUUGCCUUACAAAAGAGGGGUUAAGGUGUGUUUUCAGUGUGGUGGUGUGAAAAAUAUGCUGACCAAACCAGUUCUAAUAGGUACUAGCUGUUUAUCAGUGUAUGUCCUGCUGACUGUCUAUUAGCUUAAUAAUAUGAAUUAAUAAUAAUACAUUUUUAUUUUCCUUUCAGGGGUUUUCCCUAUAUAUUCUGUAUUUUCAAUUGUUCACAAUAAAGUGUUUU